CCCUUAGAUGUUCUGGGCUGCACGCGUGUUACAAUCGGGAGUACAACAAGAUUGCAAAUCCUAGUGGAUGAGUGGUUCUUCGAAAUUUUCUGAAGACUGGGAUAGUUGAUUGAAAUUAUUCAACUCGAACGAGGAAUUCCUUGUAAUUGUAAUUCAUUAUAUUGUAAUGAAUACGUCCCUGCCCUUUGUACACACCGCCCGUCGCUCCUACCGAUUGGGUGUGCUGGUGAAAUGUUCGGAUCGGCCGUUUGUCGCGGUUUCCGCGUCAUGUGGCUGAGAAGUUCAUUAAACCCUCCCACCUAGAGGAAGGAGAAGUCGUAACA
rnacentral:rRNA from 1 species